rnacentral:rRNA from 1 species
UACGGGGGGGGCAAGCGUUGUUCGGAAUUACUGGGCGUAAAGGGUUUGUAGGUGGCUUGCUAAGUCAGACGUGAAAUCCCUCAGCUUAACUGGGGAACUGCGUCUGAGACUGGCAGGCUUGAGUGCAGGAGAGGAACGCGGAAUUCCAGGUGUAGCGGUGAAAUGCGUAGAUAUCUGGAGGAACACCGGUGGCGAAGGCGGCAUCCUGGACCGGCAUUGACGCUGAGGCGCGAAAGCCAGGGGAGCAAACGGG